rnacentral:lncRNA from 1 species
CUAUAUUCGUUAACCCUACGUACACAAAUAUUAGUAACGCUUCACAUUACAGUGUUUCAAAACAAUUAUUAUAUAAAUCCAAUUUACAAAGUUCUACAGACUGAAAUAUGAGAUUGACUAUUUUGCUAUUAUUUGUCUUCAAGUGUGUGGAAAUCCAAAGUUUGGGUGACAAUGGACCAACUGUUGUCGUAAUCACUCCAAGCCCAUCAGAGG